CCAAAUUUAGAAUCUUUAGAUUCAGAUGAUAUAACAAUAUCAACAUUAAGGCCAGUCCUCCCAUACUCUAAGGCAUUUCUCAUAUCUUUAUAUUUAUCACCCAGUGUAUUUAACAAAGCAACAACUUGUUGAUAUUCAGACAGUUUCUCAUCACAAUCAGUUAAUUCUUUAAUCAGUCUUGUGAAUUUAUCAAUGUUUUCUUCUAAGCUUGAAGAGGGAUCAAAUCUAAAAUUGUAAAAUUGCCCUCAGUAGAUAGCAUUUAUUAGGCAUAGAUUUAAUUAGAAAUAGGGACUCAAGUUUGGUCCAAAGACCUUAUGUAUUAGUAGUUUCACCAACCUUCCUAAUAACACUAUUAGACAGGUGCAAAAAUAUAGAGCUCCAGGCAAUCUCAUCAUAUUCCUGUCUUCUAUAGGCACUAAUCUCAAUACUCCAUGCCCCAUCAAUGGCUCUAGCACAUUUCUGUUGUAAUAACAAGGCUCUCAUUUUCUGACACCACAAACUAAAGUCUCCAGUCCCUCUCCAUAUUUCUACCUCAAACUUUUUUGCAGUAGUCAUGAUUACAGAUAAAGUCACAGAUUCAAGUUUAUAUGCCACACAAGAUAUAACAAGUAUAAGCUAAGAGAACAAUAAAGAUUCCAAUAUCACAAUCUAAUAUCAAGAUAUGCAGUUGAUCAACAAGAACAAUCUAAAUCAUUUUAAGCUGCUAAUUUGAAAGGCCUAAGGAAUGGUGUCCUCGUAGGAGACCUUGGACAAAGGAAGGUAGCAGUAGAUUACUUAGCUCAAUGACCAACUCAAAAUAGACAGUACACAUCUUAAUAAUUAACUGAAAAAUUAAGAGAGUAAGGGAUUUAUACUAGAACUAAAACUUUAAUGUUUCAGGAUGAAGAAGGUAAUAAGGGAUUACCAGAAUCGGCUGCACAAUCCAAGAUAUUACACAAGAAGCCAACGAGUCACAGCAACUCAGUGUGACUCAUUGACAAUUCACAAGAGACCAACAGGAAUCAGAGUGAGUCAAAUUAGCUCAUCGUUAUGCUGAAUGAGUUUUGAAAGAAUACAACUCAAAGGUUAUCAGAAAACCCAAAAAC
rnacentral:lncRNA from 1 species